UAGGGUGGAUCGAAGCACGCAGCUCCUCAACAAGAUCCACUAGAUGGAACAAGAGGUUUAGUGCUUAACAUCUUAUCUAUUUUUUUCAUAUCUGUUUACUGAUCAUGUAUACAUAUCGAUAUCUUUGAUUGAUUUGCAUUUGAUUUUUUUAAAAGGGUAUGGUAGAUCACUUUUUUGGAAUAGCAUAUGAAAUGAAAGGAGUACUUGGUUGAGAUCCUAAUUAUUU
rnacentral:lncRNA from 1 species